AMCUGGUUGAUCCUGCCAGUGAUCAUAUGCUUGUCUCAAAGAUUAAGCCAUGCAUGUCUAAGUGCACGCCAAAUUACGGUGAGACCGCGAAUGGCUCAUUCAAUCAGCUAUGGUUUAUUGGAACGUACUCCUUGCCUAAAUGGAUAACUGUAAUAACUCUGGAGCUAACACAUGCCAUAUGCCCUGACCUGGUAUGUGUCGGCGGUGCGAUACCGGGCUGCUGGUGAUGCCGGGGAUGGGUGCACUUAUUGGUAUACACAAGCCAACAUCUCCAGCUGGCUGGCUGGCUGGCUGGGUAACGGGGACUCAGGGUUCGAUUCCAGAGAGGGAGCCUGAGAAAUGGCUACCACUUUCAAGGAAGGCAGUAGGCGCACAAAUUACCCACUCCCGGCACGGGGAGGUGAUGACGAAAAAUACUGAUGCGGGACUCAUUCGAGGCUCCGUGAUGGGAAUGGGUGAAUUUUAACCCCUUUGACGAGGACCGAUUGGAGGGCAAGUCUGGCGCCAACAGCCGCGGUAACUCCAGCUCCAAUAGCGUAUAUUAAAGUUGCUGAAGUUAUAAAGCUCGUAGUUGGAUUUCGGCUCGGAUACUGUUGACCGUGUCUGCGUCCGUCCAUCGGCUCAUUGGCCUGUGCAUGCCGAAGACACCAGCCUGUCCUGUCCUGUCCUGUCCUGUGCCGGGCCGGGCCGCAUCGCGCCGUGCUUCGGACUAACGGGUGGUUGGUUGGUUGGUCGGUCGAUUGGCCGCCGGGGCAGCUGGCCGGCUGGCUGGCUGGUUGGUCAGCCUGUGUGUCGAGUGGGGUUGGCUGCCGGGCCGGAUUGGGUUGGAUUGGCCAGAUCGAUGUCGGCGGUGGCGUCGCCUUUCAGCCAUGUCUGCGAGGUAGCUCCUCGCAGGUACGGACGUCGGCGUGGCCUGACGAGUGUACGUCGUGGCCGUGAUCGGAGAUGAUGGCGGUGCGUCGUUUCGUCAGGUUUUAUUGCCGAUGGUCUGCAUGCUCAGGGAUGCUCUUCACUGGGUGUCCAUGAGCGGAUGACACGUUUACUUUGAACAAAUUCGAAUGUCCAAAUCAGGCCGUCUGCGCGUAACUGGCUGUGCCUGAAAAGUUUUUCAUGGAAUAAUGGAAUAGGACUUUGGGUCCAUUUCGUUGGUUAUAUCAUAUAUAUGUGUUGGCUGUUCUGUGUCUCUGCCUGCCUGCCUGCCUGUGUAGACGCGCGGUCGGGCGGCAUACAUUCACACGCGGGUGUGUUUGUGUGUUAGUGCAUGCCCAGUUGUGGUGCAUCUGAAGUAAUGAUCAAAAGAGACAGGCGGGGGCGUUUGUAUGGCGGCGAUAGAGGUGAAAUUCAUGGACCGUCGCCAGACAGACUAAAGCGAAAGCACUCGUCAAGCAUGUUUUCAUUGACCAUGAGCUCGAAGACGAUCAGAUACCGUCGUAGUUCUGACCAUAAACGAUGCCAACUGACGAUCUGUGUGCCGGAUGUUCGAUUCAAACGAUCCCCACAGGCAGUCGCCCGGGAAACCGUUAAGUCUUUGGGUUCCGGGGGAAGUAUGGUUGCAAAGCUGAAACUUAAAGGAAUUGACGGAAGGGCACCACCAGGAGUGGAGCCUGCGGCUUAAUUCGACUCAACACGGGAAAACUCACCCGGCCCGGACACCGUGAGGAUUGACAGAUUGACAGAUCUUUCAUGAUUCGGUGGAUGGUGGUGCAUGGCCGUUCUUAGUUGGUGGAGCGAUUUGUCUGGUUAAUUCCGAUAACGAACGAGACUCUAACCUGCUAAUUAGUGCACUCGUCAUCCGGUGCUCGUUACGGUUGAUGGUCGGCGGCUGGGCCUCGGUGCAUGCAGUCUAUCUGCAGGCAGUUGGAGUGUGAGCGUGUGUGUGUGUGUGUGUGUGUGUGGUGUGUGUGAGUGUGUGUGAGUGGGUGGGUGAGUGAGUGUGGGUGUGUAUAUAUGUGUAUGGUUGCUGGUUGCUGGCCUGGUUGGUCGGCGGUAACGUCCGUCCGUGCCGGUGCCGGUGCCGGUGCCUGCGUCCGCCUGUUGCACACGCGCGCUCUGCACUUUCUCUCACUUCCACUCUCACUCUCACUGCCGCUGCACUACUGCCUCGCUCUGUCUCCGUGUGUCUCUGCGUGGAUGAGAGCACAGUGUGCGUGGUCGCGUGACCGCAGCCGAAUGGGCACGGCGCGGGUGGGCAUGACUUCUUAGAGGGACUGGCGGCUUGAAUCCGCACGAAAUUGAGCAAUAACAGGUCUGUGAUGCCCUCAGAUGUCCGGGGCCGCACGCGCGCUACAAUGACGGUGCCAGCGAGUUUGACCUCCUGACCGGAGACGGUGCGGGCAAACUGGUCAAUCACCGUGGUCAUGACAGGGAUCGGGCCUUGGAAUUGUUGCCCGUGAACGAGGAAUUCCUAGUAAGUGCAAGUCAUCAGCUUGCGCUGACUACGUCCCUGCCCUUUGUACACACCGCCCGUCACUACUACCGAUUGGAUGGUUUAGCGAGGUCAUUGGAUCGGCCCGGCCAACCGGGCAUGCAUAUGUGUGUGUGUGGUCCGCCGGCGCUGAGAAGAUGACCGAACUUGAUCAUCUAGAGGAAGUAAAAGUCGUAACAAGGUUUCCGUAGGUGAACCUGCAGAUGGAUCA
rnacentral:rRNA from 1 species